rnacentral:rRNA from 1 species
UACGGAGGGUGCGAGCGUUGUCCGGAAUCAUUGGGCGUAAAGGGCGCGUAGGUGGCCCGGUCAGUCUUUGGUGAAAGCGCGGGGCUCAACCCUGCGUCGGCCAGGGAUACUGCCGCGGCUCGAGCACUGUAGAGGCAGGCGGAAUUCCGGGUGUAGCGGUGGAAUGCGUAGAGAUCCGGAAGAACACCAGUGGCGAAGGCGGCUCACUGGCCCGGUACUGACGCUGAGGUGCGAAAGCGUGGGGAGCAA